AAAGAGAAAGAGAAAAAAAGAAAAGAAAACAGGAUCAAAAGUCUCCAGAGAGAUAAAAAGAUGAUCAAGAACAAUAAAAACCCACCCUCUCUCUUCUUCUUCUUCUUCUUCUCUCUUCUCCUUUCUUCUUUCUCCCUUUUCAUUAACUGUGUAGUUUCCACCAGACUGAAGUUUGAGACGAGGCAAGAGGAUCGAACGAGGAACACGAAGACAAUGAUUUCCAAUCACAUUAUAAUGUGGUCUUUUUCUGCAAGAAGAGAGAGGAGAGAAAGAAA
rnacentral:ribozyme from 13 species